AGUUCCAAGGUAAAAUGACAAUUCCAGAGAGCUCUGGAGCUCGGAUUCCUGAGUUGGAGCAAACCCAGGGACGUUGGAUUUCCAGCCCCACACCACCCCUCUGACAGUGCAGACAGGAGACCUCAGCCCCAGGAGGUGAAACCAUCCCAGGAGAUCCCCCGGAGGGAAACUGAACCCACAAAGCUCAGCUUGGGCCGAUGAACGGGGCCAGGGAAAGUGAUUCCCAAAAGGUGAAAGGACUUUGCGUCUGGAGGCAGAGGAGGCUCCAGGGCUGGCAGGACGUGGAAGGAGGUGGUGGCAAGCUCUUGUCCCCGUUGAGUCCCGUUUGGUGUUUGCUGGGGUGGCAGAAGCUCCGAGCUGCCACAGCCUGGGCUCUGCCUUGGCUGAGCCCGGCUUUGCCCAGGCUCUGCCUCCCCGAGGCACGGAUUUGGGCUCAGCCUGGCAGGGUUUGGUGCUGGCCCCCCCCAGAGCCCCGGUCCCUGUGGCACUCACUGCAGGACACAGUCUGGGAUCUGCACGUGCUCCAUGGGGAUGAGCUGCUCCAGCUCCUCCAGGCUGUGCACGUACUGGAUCUUGCUGAUGAACUUCACACUGCACAGAGAGACACAGAGAGAAGUGACAGCCCAGCGGCUCCUGGGGCACCUCUGGAGGUGGCACUGCGGGGAUCUGAGGGGUGCAGGACAAGUGACAGCCCAGCAGCUCCUGGGGCACCUCUGGAGGUGGCACUGUGGGGAUCUGAGGGGUGCAGGACAAGUGACAGCCUCACCCCUGGCUGAGGCAGCUGGGAUGGAGUGGAAAGCGGGACUGGCUCAGACUCAUUCCUGUUGAAGAGCAGCGUCUGAUUUUCCUUUGAGGAGGCCCAGGAGUGAUGGAGGGGCCCCCCCAGCAGGAUUCUCACCUCCUGUCAAUC